AUUUCUUCUCAUGUUAGACUUUAUAUAGUUACUCUUGUUUUCUGAAAUUGUAAGGCCCAAAGUUUCUCCAAAAACCUUAAUUAUUUUAACUGUUGAUUUUAAUGACACGUUCACUUCCCCUAAGAUUAUCAUAGCAUCAUUCACAUAAAGAUUGUUUCUAAUUUCUUCCUUGCCCACCUUGAAGCCUUUAAUAACGAGGUCGUUCCUUAUUAAAUUUGCUAAUAGCUCAAUGGCCAAUGCAAAUAGGGCUAUAAUGUAAUUGAUUUUACAUUCCAUCCUUGUGGGGUAAGUCCCUAUAUAUUUUAUUUGUUUAUACAGUUCCAUGUUAAGGUCUCCCACAAUGAUUAUGUCUCCCUUUGCUUGUUUCUCAGUUUUGGCACAGGACCUUUGUAUGAAUCCUAACUGGUUUUUACUUGCUAUAGUGAUAUCACUAUUGUUUAAUUUUCCCUUUAUCAUCAUUCUCCUUGAUGAGGGGGUUGCUCAGAAGGACCUCCUCACACCUGUCCAGAAUAUCAUAAAGGAGUAGAGACCCUUGCUGCAACUUCUCCCUUCUGUCAUUUAACCCUUAACCUAUAUAACACCCAGUUAUAUAGUUAUAUGAGUUAUUCUGGCAUGGAGUGCUGUUACCUUCCAAGCAGACGCAUCCGAGGGGAGCUCCACAGCAAGGUAUGAAUAAGACAUGAAGGAGACCCUUUGUUGUUGUUUCAAAGGCCACAUCAACAUUUCUACAAAGGAAUCCCAAGGGUCUUGUUGCCACUUCACUCUCUGAUGAAGCAGAUUAGCUGCCUCACUAGGUGACAUCAUAGAGUAACUAGUUGAAAACAGCACUUCAAGGGCUCCUUUAAAAAAUAUAGGAAGAAUUAAGCCUCAUGAAAGCCCGGGGAGACCUGCUGGUAAGUCAGACCUCGGGGAGAUUUUUGUCUGCUGCAUCCUGAGGAGGAGGAUGAAGAAGAGAUAAAUGGCAGGCCGUACAACAGAAAACAAAAUGAAAACCUGUUGCCCUUUGAAAAAAUUAAAGACAUUCUAAAGCUUAUUGACAACGGGAAGAAAUCAACCGAUCACACAGAGCGGCAGCGUCUCUGUCUUCUAUAUGACUUCAAUGUUUUUUCCCAGCCACAUCAUCAAACUGAAUAAAAGAGACCCUCAUAGACAGUAUCACCCAAGAUAAAAUGAAGGCACAGUAGUGAUGACAUUUUCUUUCAUAUCUUGUAGAUGUGCUUAAAGGAGACAGCAAGAGGAGUUAAACCAUGUUCAUUAUAAUGAAAGCUGGCUUCUAAAGCCUUUGUUCCAGAGCAAUGUUUUGUAACAUCUAUUAACACUUUGAUAUCCAUUCAAAAGAGAAAUGUGGAUAAGGAUUUUUUUUCCAACUUCAAAAUGAUUAACAAUGUAUAACAAGCAUGUUGCUGGAAAAUUGCUUGAAGAGUUUGGAACUUCUGGCUCACACAUCCUCUAAAUACAUAUGGCAAUAAAGCUCACUUGAAAAUUAACACUGUUCUAUGGCCCACAUCCUCUGCAUGAAACUGCAUGGAAAUUUCCAAAAGAAAUUGGAGCGUUUUCCAAGUUAUUGACACCUGGGCACAAAAUAUGCAUAUUGCGGACUAGUAAAGUAUGUUGUUGGAGGGUUGUUGUAUGUCUUUCGGGCUGUGUGGCCAUGUUCCAGAAGCAUUCUCUCCUGACGUUUCGCCCACAUCUAUGGCAGGCAUCCUCAGAGGUUGUGAGGUAUGGAGAAAACUAAGCAAAGAGGUUAAUAUAUAUCUGUGGAAAGUCUAGGGUGAGAGAGGUCAGUGUGAAUGUUGUGUAGUUAAUCACUUUAAUUAGCAUUGAAAAGCUUAUCUGCUGUCUUCUUCCUGCCUCUGGGGCAUCCUUUGUUUAGAGUCGUUAACUGCCCUUGGUUGAUUCAUGUCUGGAAAUCCUCUGUUUUCAGAGUAUUGCUUUUUAUUUACUGUUCUGAUUUUUGAGUUUUUUAAUACUGGUAGCCAGAUUUUGUUCAUUUUCAUGGUUUCUUCCUUUCUGUUGAAGUUGUCCACAUGCUUGUGGAUUUCAAUGGCUUCUCUGUGUAGUCUGACAUGAUAGUUGUUAGAAUGGUCCAGCAUUUUUGUGUUCUCAAAUAGUAUUCUGUGUCCAGGCUGGUUCAUCAAAUGCUCUGCUAUGGCUGAUUUCUCUGGUUGAAUUAGUCUGCAGUGCCUUUCAUGUUCUUUGACUCUUGUUUGGGCGCUGCGUUUGGUGGUCCCUAUGUAGACUUGUCCACAGCUGCAUGGUAUCCGGUAGACUCCUGCAGAAGAGAGAGGAUCCCUCUUGUCCUUCGCUGACCGUAGCAUUUGUUGGAUUUUCUUCGUGGGUCUGUAGAUAGUUUGUAGGUUGUGCUUCUUCAUCAGCUUCCCUAUGUGGUCAGUAGUUCCCUUGAUGUAU